UUUAGGGAGACCUACACCCCUUACAUAUCGAAAAACACACAGUUAAAUAGAUAGUAAGUUGGUCUAACCUAGGUCGGUCGCAGACAUUUGCAAUUGUUAAAAGCUUUCAAACUAUGAUGAAGGUUCGUUUAGGGCUAUUAGCUCAGGUGGUUAGAGCGCACCCCUGAUAAGGGUGAGGUCCCUGGUUCGAGUCCAGGAUGGCCCA
rnacentral:tRNA from 1 species